CUGUCAUACCCCAAAAUUCACCCUACUCCGAUACAACUUUCAUCUGAUCCAUGGCCCUACUGCACAUGUAUGCUUUCAUUAUUUCAUCAUCAUAAUUUCAUUGAACUUUCAUAACCAAAGACAUAUUGCAUGGGCUCAAGGUAUGAAUUUAAAAAAAAUAAAAAAUAGGGAAAUCGAUUUACCCAACUAUGUAAAUCGAUUUGCCAUGCGCAGACACCAAAAAUAAGCCUUUUUUUUUGCACAAAGGGUAUUUGGUUCCCCACACUUUCCCACUUGCUUUCCCUAUAAAUAGAUGCAUUAUUCCCCCUCAUUUUUCAUGCUUUCUAGCCCCCAAAAAUUCUGAAAAAAUAUCAUCCAACCCCUCUUCUCCAAACCUAAAUCAAAACCAAAAAAACCUUUCCCUCCCAAAA
rnacentral:lncRNA from 1 species